rnacentral:rRNA from 1 species
CAGCCGCCGCGGUAAUACGAAGGGGGCUAGCGUUGUUCGGAUUUACUGGGCGUAAAGCGCACGUAGGCGGAUCGAUCAGUCAGGGGUGAAAUCCCAGAGCUCAACUCUGGAACUGCCUUUGAUACUGUCGAUCUGGAGUAUGGAAGAGGUGAGUGGAAUUCCGAGUGUAGAGGUGAAAUUCGUAGAUAUCAGGAGGAACACCUGUGGCGAAAGCGGCUCACUGGACCAUUACUGACGCUGAGGCUCGAAAGCUAGGGGAGCAAACAGGAUUAGAGACCCCCGUAGUCCCUGUCUCUUUACA